UCUAUUGUAUAUCCAAAAUGUCUUCAACUCAGAAGAAAUGUGUUUAAAAUGGUCGUGGUCGCUGGCCUGCGAAAUGCAAUACACCAUUUUGUCAACCGCAUUGCUGUUCAUUUAUGCAAAAUAUCCAAAUGCAGCAAAGCUAAUGUUCUGUUCGCUAUUUGCGAUAUGCGUUGGUUUGCUCUUUUCAGUCGUUAUCUUUACAAAAUGCAUAUUCACCUAUGAUGUUCUUCAUUCAUUGUUCACUGAAAUGUAUAUUGCACCGUGGACACGAGUCCUUCCGUACCUUGUCGGAGUUGCAGCUGGCUAUGUCAUGUACAUGAUGAAGGGUAAAUUGCCCUUGGGUGAAGUAAGUGGUUUACCAGAAUAUUGACAAUUUUUGUAACGAAACAUUUUUUUGAAAAUUUUCUUCUAAGAAAACCAUCAAAAUAACUUGGAUCAUGAUGAUAACAAUUCUUAUUCUUUGCCAUAAAUCGACAAUAAACCCUGACACAUCGUAUGUUACGACCGCGUUUGCGAUUACAAUCAUGCGUAUUUUGUAUCCGGCGUCAAUAUCAUGGAUGAUUCUGGCCAGUCAUGCAGGAUAUGGUGGCCGCUUUGCCAAGUUUCUAAACCAUCCAAUUUUCGUGCACAUCAACAAAUUGUCGUAUGGAAUUUAUUUGCUAAAUCCAGUCGUUAUCAUUUUGGUAUAUGGAUGGCAAGAUCACAGCACGCAUAUCGAUCCAGUUUCAAUGGUGGUAAUGAUAACUGGAAUUACCGUCUUCGUUUACCUAACGGCGGUGGUGUUUUCACUCAUGUUCGAAAUACCAUACACAAACCUUUCGGCAAAAAUUUUGGGUCAAUCAUCAUUAAAACGGGAAAUGGUGACGUUUUCAUCAAAAUCAACCGAAUUGAUUGGAACGAAGAAAAUGCUUUGAUGGAAAAUCCGGUGGAGUUUGGUAUGAUUCAUGGAGACUCAGGAUUCGACUCGAGUCCAGCGCAUUCCGUUCUUGUGU